rnacentral:pre_miRNA from 1 species
AUUCUACUCCCUCCGUUGCACAAUACAUGCCUUCUAUUUGUCAAAAUAUAUAUGUAUCUAGAUAUGUCUUAGUAUAUAGGUACAUCCAUUUUUGGACAAAUGGAAGUCAAGUAUUUUGGAACGGAGGGAGUACACA